rnacentral:rRNA from 1 species
GACGAACGCUGGCGGCGUGCCUAAUACAUGCAAGUCGAGCGCAGGAAACUGACGGAACUCUUCGGAGGGAAGGCAGUGGAAUGAGCGGCGGACGGGUGAGUAACACGUAAGGAACCUGCCUCAAGGAUUGGGAUAACUCCGAGAAAUCGGAGCUAAUACCGGAUAGUUCAACGGACCGCAUGGUCGGCUGAUGAAAGGCGCUUAGGCGUUACCGUGAGAUGGCCUUGCGGUGCAUUAGCUAGUUGGUGGGGUAACGGCCCACCAAGGCGACGAUGCAUAGCCGACCGGAGAGGGUGAUCGGCCAAACUGGGACUGAGACACGGCCCAGACUCCUACGGGAGGCAGCAGUAGGGAAUCUUCCACAAUGGACGAAAGUCUGAUGGAGCAACGCCGCGUGAGUGAUGAAGGUUUUCGGAUCGUAAAACUCUGUUGUAAGGGAAGAACACGUACGAGAGGGAAUGCUCGUACCUUGACGGUACCUUACGAGAAAGCCACGGCUAACUACGUGCCAGCAGCCGCCGCGG